rnacentral:rRNA from 1 species
AUGCCUGCAGGGAUCAUCGGAACCAUGGUCACCGGCGGCGACGGCAGCAAGCUUCCGGACCUCAGGGACGUGCUCUCCUUCUCCUUCAAGUUCAUGAAGCAGGGCAAGAAGGAAGGCUCGUCCAACGCCUCGCCGCAGAACGACCUCUUGUUGUCUCAGGUCAACUAUCUCAGGGAUCAGCUCCAAGCAUUGUCCCGUGAGGCUCAAUGCCCGCAGAUUAUCAACGUCAAUGGUGGACCAGGCGCUGGUGCUUAUGGUUUAACUUUUAUUGCUGUUGGAGCCAUUGGCUAUUUAUACAUAAGAUGGAAGGGAUGGAAAAUUUCUGAUAUGAUGUUUGUCACCAAGCGUGGCUUGGCUGAUGCCUGCAACGUAGUUGGCAAACAAUUGGAUCAGGUUUCGGAAAGUGUUCAUGCUUCAAAAAAGCAUUUGGCUGGAAGGAUCGACCGAGUCGAUUGUAGUCUAGAUGAAUGCCACGAAAUUAUUGAAGCCACAGGGAAAGAGGUUACAGUAAUACAUGGAGAUCUAAGUGCCUUUCAGGAGGAAAUACAAUCAGUUCACCAUGUUGUCCGCACUCUGGAGACAAAGCUUGGACGCCUUGCAUAUACUCAAGAUCACACAACACGAGGAAUACAUGAGUUAUGUGAGUUCACUAAAAGAUUGGAUCGGAGUCCGAAAGCCGAUACUCUUAAGGUCACAGCAUCAACUCCUCUCCCUGCAAUCGAGUCUUCAGAAGGAAUUACUAGGACUGCUUCGUUGCCGUCAGGUUCAGAACCCGUGUCUCCUGUAGCUCAAUCACCUAGAGCAGAUCCACCUAAGGUUCUGCGUUCGUCUACAGCCAUAUCAGCAUCAGGACUGAGUAUGCUAGCUGGAACUACAGCAAUACCUAAAAGGGCUGUGAUCAACCGGGCAACUUCGAUGAAGGAAGGAGUGCCGACCCCCGAGGCGCCAAAGGACACUUCAAGCACAGCAGCAACACUCAAGAGACCUGUUUCGAGUUCGAGCCGGUUCGGUUUCCUGCGGGGUUUCGCCAGCUGA